rnacentral:rRNA from 1 species
CAGUAGCCGCGGUAAUACGGAGGUGGCAAGCGUUGUCCGGAAUUAUUGGGCGUAAAGGGCUCGCAGGCGGUUUCUUAAGUCUGAUGUGAAAGCCCCCGGCUCAAUCGGGGAGGGUCAUUGGAAACCGGGAAACUUGAGUGCAGAAGAGGAGAGUGGAAUUCCACGUGUAGCGGUGAAAUGCGUAGAGAUGUGGAGGAACACCAGUGGCGAAGGCGACUCUCUGGUCUGUAACUGACGCUGAGGAGCGAAAGCGUGGGGAGCGAACAGGAUUAGAUACCCGGGUAGUCCCUGUCUCUUAUAC